GAGGGGCUUUUCUGUUUCCCCCGCACAGGAACGUCUCCGCUCAGGUCUCCCCGGGGCUCCCGCUCCCAGCGGCGCUGCCCGGACCCCGCGGAGCAGCAGCAGGGCCAAGCCCCGGGGCUGAGACUCCCCUCGCCAGGCCCCGGCCCCGGCGUCUCUUCGCCAAUCAGGGAGCGGGGAGAGGCGGGCUGUUCUGACGCGCACCCCCAAUCCGCCAAUAGAAGGCCGAGCGUGAGAGAGAGACCUGCGCGUCUCAGCCUGCCCCGGGAGGGACGGCUCCGGAGGGCGGGGUUAUGGGUCACUUCCGCUUCCUGCGGCUGGGCACGGUCGUUGCCUUGGCAGCGGGGCACGUCAUUUCCGCUCUGAGGAGAGUCGAAGCGCACCUACCACUCUGCUGUGGCGGGGCGCCUCUCGCUCGAGCCCUGGAUAUUGGAGUUGAGCUUCCUGGGUCAGACACUGCUGCCUUCAUUACAAUCUGGGAAUCAAGACUGAGCAGCUGCUGCUCCCCUGGUGGAAUCAAGGCUAGGGAGUGACCUUAAGUAAAGUCUCCUCUGUGCCCAGACAAGGCGAGGACUUUCUCCAGCUGUAAUUAGCCCAUAAGGCAGCCCUAGACUUUGCCAACACCAACAGCUGAGCCAGAAACUCCAGGCUGCAGUGUAGCAUCCCUGUUUUGCUCCAGAUCAUUCUAUCCUUUCAGGGAAGGGAAAUGGCUGCAGUGGAGCCAGUUGAGGGGCUGGUGACCUUCGAGGAGGUGGUUGUGUAUUUCACCAAGGAAGAGUGGGCUCUGCUGGACCCCGCUCAGAGAGCUCUGUACAGAGAUGUCAUGCAGGAGAACUAUGAGAAUGUGACCUCGCUGGGUAAGGAUUCCUGUCCCCUUGGUUAUUAGAAGGGGAAGUGAAGAGUUUAGUUUCACAACACCGCACAGUGCAACCUCAUCUCUGCCCUGUUUCAGCAACACCCCAACAGGCAAAUGACACUCUACCCUCCCCGCUACGGAGCUGUUUGGGAACAGAGCACAGGAGCAAUAUAGCACAAAGUCUAACAUCUUUUCUUUGCUAAGGCAAAAUUUGGGAUUAGAUCCCAAGUAGGAAACAGAAGGUACCUACACCUGGCCUGCACUUAGACAUUGAGCCGACUAUACACAAUCUAUCUCAGAUUUUCAUAGUGUUACCACCUCUUUACCCUUGCACUGAGGAUUCCUUCUGAGUAAUUGCCUUCACUUACCCUCUCUGGAGCAUUGGAGACCACUAGCAUGUAUGCCACCAGACUGCUGACAAACUUCUUGACAAGAACACACUUUGUGCGCCUUCAUUAACACAGCCUACAACACUCAGCACUGAAUGAGGAAUACCUGUUCCUUCCGGUUUCACAUUCCUGUGUCUUCAUAUCACAGUCAUAGCUCUGCUAAGCUGCUCCAACUCUUCCCUCCACUGUUCCUUUAAAGCUAUAGCUGACACAGUGCACAUAGCUGAAGUGUAUGCAGAUAAAUGUUGGUAUUCA